rnacentral:rRNA from 1 species
AUUGAACGCUGGCGGCAGGCCUAACACAUGCAAGUCGAGCGAGCGGCGGACGGGUGAGGCAUGUAAGGGGACUGCCCGAUAGAGGGGGAGAACUACUGGAGACGGUAGCAAAUACCGCAUACUCUAGGCUAACCCAUAUGGGAUUAGCUAGUAGGUGAGUGAAUCGCUCACCUAGGCGACGAUCCCUAGCUGGUCUGAGAGGAUGAUCAGCCACACUGGGACUGAGACACGGCCCAGACUCCUACGGAGGCAGCAGUGGGGAAUAUUGCACAAUGGGCUCAAGCCUGAUGCAGCCAUGCCGCGUGUAUGAAGAAGGCCCUAGGAUUGUAAAGUACUUUCAGUCGGGAGGCGUUACCGACAGAAUAAGCACCGGCUAACUCCGUACCAGCCGCCGCGGUAAUUC